CGGGGGCCCGCACAAGCGGCGGAGCAUGCGGAUUAAUUCGAUGCAACGCGAAGAACCUUACCUGGGCUUGACAUGUUCCCGACAGCCGCAGAGAUGCGGUCUCCCUUCGGGGCGGGUUCACAGGUGGUGCAUGGUCGUCGUCAGCUCGUGUCGUGAGAUGUUGGGUUAAGUCCCGCAACGAGCGCAACCCUCGCCCUGUGUUGCCAGCACGUCGUGGUGGGAACUCACGGGGGACCGCCGGGGUCAACUCGGAGGAAGGUGGGGAUGACGUCAGAUCAUCAUGCCCCUUACGUCCAGGGCUUCACGCAUGCUACAAUGGCCGGUACAACGGGAUGCGACACCGCGAGGUGGAGCGGAUCCCUUAAAACCGGUCUCAGUUCGGAUUGGAGUCUGCAACCCGACUCCAUGAAGGCGGAGUCGCUAGUAAUCGCGGAUCAGCAACGCCGCGGUGAAUGCGUUCCCGGGCCUUGUACACACCGCCCGUCAAGUCAUGAAAGUGGGUAGCACCCGAAGCCGGUGGCCCAAC
rnacentral:rRNA from 1 species